CCUACGGGCGGCAGCAGUGGGGAAUAUUGCACAAUGGGGGAAACCCUGAUGCAGCGACGCCGCGUGAGUGAAGAAGUAAUUCGUUAUGUAAAGCUCUAUCAGCAGGGAAGAAAAUGACGGUACCUGAGUAAGAAGCCACGGCUAACUACGUGCCAGCAGCCGCGGUAAUACGUGGGGGGCAAGCGUUAUCCGGAUUUACUGGGUGGAAAGGGAGCGUAGACGGCAGUGCAAGUCUGGAGUGAAAGGCGGGGGCUCAACCCCCGGACUGCUCUGGAAACUGUACGGCUGGAGUGCAGGAGAGGUAAGUGGAAUUCCUAGUGUAGCGGUGAAAUGCGUAGAUAUUAGGAGGAACACCAGUGGCGAAGGCGGCUUACUGGACUGUAACUGACGUUGAGGCUCGAAAGCGUGGGGAGCAAACAGGAUUAGAUACCCGAGUAGUC
rnacentral:rRNA from 1 species